GUGCCAGCAGCCGCGGUAAGACGAGGGAUCCUAGCGUUGCUCGGAAUCAUUGGGCGUAAAGAGGGCGUAGGUGGCUUUGUAAGUCAGGUGUGAAAGCCCCGGGCUCAACCCGGGAAGUGCAUUUGAAACUGCGAAGCUUGAGUGUUGGAGAGGUCAUCGGAAUACCUGGUGUAGUGGUGAAAUACGUAGAUAUCAGGUGGAACACCGGAGGCGAAGGCGGGUGACUGGCCAAACACUGACACUGAGGCCCGAAAGCAUGGGGAUCAAACAGGAUUAGAUACCCUAGUAGUCC
rnacentral:rRNA from 1 species